rnacentral:rRNA from 1 species
GACGAACCGCCCGAACGUUGUUCGGAAUCACUGGGCUUAAAGGGCGUGUAGGCGGUCCGCUAAGUCUGAUGUGAAAGCCCGGGGCUCACCCCCGGAAGGGCAUUGGAAACUGACGGACUCGAGUCCCGAAGAGGAGGGUGGAAUUCCUGGUGUAGCGGUGAAAUGCGUAGAUAUCAGGAGGAACACCGGUGGCGAAGGCGGCCCUCUGGACGGUGACUGACGCUGAGACGCGAAAGCGUGGGGAGCAAACAGG